rnacentral:rRNA from 1 species
GAGUUUGAUCCUGGCUCAGGACGAACGCUGGCGGCGUGCCUAAUACAUGCAAGUCGAGCGGGAUGAUGAAGAAGCUUGCUUCUUCUGAUUUUAGCGGCGGACGGGUGAGUAACACGUGGGCAACCUACCUUGUAGAUUGGGAUAACUCCGGGAAACCGGGGCUAAUACCGAAUAAUCCAUCUUGCUUCAUGGCAAGAUGUUGAAAGGCGGCUUCGGCUGUCACUACGAGAUGGGCCCGCGGCGUAUUAGCUAGUUGGUAGGGUAAUGGCCUACCAAGGCGACGAUACGUAGCCGACCUGAGAGGGUGAUGGCCACACUGGGACUGAGACACGGCCCACGACUCCUA